rnacentral:rRNA from 1 species
UUGGAAAAGCCGGUGCAAGCGAGGUAGGAGUACAGUAGGCAAAUCCGCUGUACAAUCCGAAGACGUGAUGCGGACCGAAUUAAGAGUAGGGAAGUGUGUGAGCCAUGCGUCAAGAAAAGCCGCUAUUGUUUUACUUAAGCCCGUACCGUAAACCGACACAGGUGGAUGAGGAGAGAAUCCUAAGGCCGACGGGAGAAGCAUUGUUAAGGAACUCGGCAAAAUGACUCCGUAACUUCGGGAGAAGGAGUGCCAGCGAGAGCUGGCCGCAGAGAAUUGGCCCAAGCAACUGUUUAGCAAAAACACAGGUCUAUGCAAAACCGUAAGGUGAAGUAUAUGGGCUGACGCCUGCCCGGUGCUGGAAGGUUAAGAGGAGAGGUUAGCGGCAACGCGAAGCUUUGAAUUUAAGCCCCAGUAAACGGCGGCCGUAACAAUAACGGUCCUAAGGUAGCGAAAUUCCUUGUCGGGUAAGUUCCGACCCGCACGAAAGGCGUAAUGAUUUGGGCACUGUCUCAACAAUGCACCCGGUGAAAUUGAAAUACCAGUGAAGAUGCUGGUUACCUGCGCCAGGACGGAAAGACCCCAUGGAGCUUUACUCCAGCUUGAUACUGGGAUUCGGUAUUGCAUGUACAGGAUAGGUGGGAGGCUAGGAAGUGAUAACGCCAGUUGUCACGGAGCCGCUGUUGGGAUACCACCCUUGCAGUAUUGGAUUUCUAACCAGCGACCAUGAACUAGUCGGGGGACAAUGUCAGGUGGGGAGUUUGACUGGGGCGGUCGCCUCCGAAAGGGUAUCGGAGGCGCUCAAAGGUUCCCUCAGAAUGGACGGAAACCAUUCGAAGAGUGCAAAGGCAGAAGGGAGCUUGACUGCGACACCGACGGGUGGAGCAGGUACGAAAGUAGGACUUAGUGAUCCGGUGGUAUAAAGUGGGAUUGCCAUCGCUCAACGGAUAAAAGCUACCCUGGGAUAACAGGCUUAUCACUCCCAAGAGUUCACAUCGACGGAGUGGUUUGGCACCUCGAUGUCGGCUCAUCGCACCCUGGGGCUGAAGUAGGUCCCAAGGGUUGGGCUGUUCGCCCAUUAAAGCGGUACGCGAGCUGGGUUCAGAACGUCGUGAGACAGUUCGGUCCCUAUCCGGCGUGGGCGUAGGAUAUUUGAGAGGAGCUGUCCUUAGUACGAGAGGACCGGGAUGGACUGGCCGCUGGUGUAUCUGUUGCAUACCAAAUGCAUGGCAGAGUAGCCAAGCCGGGACGGGAUAAACGCUGAAGGCAUCUAAGCGUGAAGCCCCCCUCAAGAUGAGAUAUCCCUACGUAAGUAGUAAGACCCCUUGAAGACGACGAGGUAGAUAGGUCAGAGGUGGAAGUACAGUAAUGUAUGGAGCUGACUGAUACUAAUCGGUCGAGGGCAUGACC